UGCCACUGACAAUGCUCUUUAUGGAAACGCGUCAAGUGCGCAUUACUUUUCCAAUUUUUGAGCGAGUUGCUCAAGUCUGCCUUGAGGUGGAAAGGUGCUGCACGCUGAAAAAAAAAAUAAAAAAUCAAACACAAAAGCAGGAAUGGAAGGGGAGGAAGAUAUUUGUGACUCUCAGCACUGAUUAAGACUACUUCAGUGUGGCUGGUGCCACUUUACACCAGCGGGCAGCAGCCUUCUGUGAAAGAAGCCGAGGCUUGAGAGGUGAGGGUCAGUGCCGUUCACUGCAGGGCCCGACAGGGGAAGCACACACACUCGUACACAGAAGUACACUAAGGUAGUCAGGCUGAACUGAGGACUUGAUGUGCUGAGAAAGAAUAGAAGUUGAGGUGCUGUGUAAUUGAGCUGUUUGGCUCUCGGGCCUCUAUGAUGUCCUCAUCCAUGAAGCAGAUGACACCAUGGCUCUGCUCCUCUCUUUCACACAGAGACAGUGUUCAAAAACUCCAGAGGAAGGUCACUGACAGGUGUGGAGUCAUUAUCAGCCACAGUCUAGUUUAGUUUUUCUUUCACCAGCGACUAUGAGAAAUGCACCAACUGGAGAUUCAUGAUUUCCAAUUGGCUGUUAUAUUUUGGUUCUCUUUUUUUAAAGGUCCAGUCCUGCUGAUUCAAAUUUUUAUCAGUAAGUAGAGAUGCUCCCAUGUGAACACAUGAUUUUAAAUAUCUGCCAAUACCAAUAUUUUUCAAUCCAGAAUGCUGUAACUAAACAGCACUAAACUAGUGCUUCAGAAACUGGCAGCAUGGAGAACAUAGUAGACUUCAGAAGAUAGCAUUGGAACUUCAGUCAACUUAGCCUUAACUUUCUGUAAAUGUUUGAGAGAUGGUUUAAAAAAUCCUCCACAUCCAAGAAAAAGGAGCCUUAAGAAGCUUUCUGGAUUCAUAAGAACUGUUUUUGUGUGUUUUUCAAAUUUUUUUUUUAAGUAUUAAGCAGAGUUGUCACUAUUACUGCUUGUAACAGUAACAGCAGCUUCCAUGAAUAAUACUGAUGCACAACAUUUUUUUGAUUGACUUUAUUAAUAUUGCUUCCUGGAACUGCUGCCCCUGUAUACAUAAUUUAUAGACUGAUUUAAACUCUUUUGGCAACAUUAAUUGAAGAUUAGUACGGUUUUGUAUUGGUUCAAGAAUGAAUUGGACUCAAACUCAGUACACAACAGGAAAAGUUACAUUUUACUGAACACAAUUAAAAUGUAAGAGAUGACCGAUAGCCUCUCAAUGGGAUCGUCUCUGGGGUCAGACUCUGUGAAGGAGACGGGUUAAUAAAUGACUGGCCGUGUAAACAGAAGUUAUGGAGCAAAUAAGAAAUGGUGAGCUAUGCAGUAGAGGUCGUAUGACUGUCUUCGGGAAUUUGAGCCUCGACUGACUCGAAUUCUCUGUAAAGUAACAGAAGUGGAUUAGAGAGCACUCUUCUACCUGGCAUUGUUUCACCCACAGGGCUGUAUAAAGGAAAAUCCUCUGUGUGCUGGA